GGCCUAAACCCUUUACCGGGCAUGGCGAAAGAAGUCGAGUUAAGCAUAAAGAACCCAUCAUGGGGUCGCUUAACUCGCCAUAGCGGGAAACUGCUAUGAGAAGCUUCGGCUUCU
rnacentral:sRNA from 12 species